CCUACGGGAGGCAGCAGUGAGGAAUAUUGGUCAAUGGACGAGAGUCUGAACCAGCCAAGCAGCGUGAAGGAUGACUGCUCUAUGGGUUGUAAACUUCUUUUAUAUGGGAAUAAAAUGUUACACGUGUGGGAUUUUGUAUGUACCCUAUGAAUAAGCAUCGGCUCACUCCGUGCCAGCAGCCGCGGUAAUUCGGAGGAUCCGAGCGUUAUCCGGAUUUAUUGGGUUUAAAGGGAGCGUAGGUGGACUGUUAAGUCAGUUGUGAAAGUUUGGGGCUUAACCGUAGAAGUGCAGUUGAAACUGGCAGUCUUGAGUGCAGUAGAGGUAGGCGGAAUGCGUGGUGUAGCGGUGAAAUGCGUAGAUAUCACGAAGAACCCCGAUUGCGAAGGCAGCUGACUGGACUGCAACUGACACUGAGGCUCGAAAGUGUGGGUAGCAAACAGGAUUAGAUACCCGUGUAGUC
rnacentral:rRNA from 1 species